ensembl:lncRNA
CCUGAGGCUGACUCAAGGGCUUGCUUCCUGAGAGAGAACUUCUUCUGGGUGAUAGGCUGCUUCCUGAGAUGGAGUGUUCUAUAGCCAGGGACCCACAUCACCAGUUGGCCCUUGUAAAGUUGUAGAAGAUCCCAAGUUGGAAGAGACCCAUAAGGAUCAUCAACUCCCACUCCUGGCUCUGCACAGCACCAUCCAAAAAUCAGACCAUAUGAUCAGAGGAUUGUCCAAACUCUCUUUGAGCUCUGGCUGUGCCACUGCCCUGGGCAGCCUGCUCUGUGCCCCCCUGACCCUCCCCUGGGAAUUGAGAUGACAGGAUUGCAAACUCCUCUUCCUGGCACAGACUGCUCCCAUAGGUGCUGCAGGGUUCCAUUUUCUGUAGCAGAGAUCCAGAGAGGACCUCCUAAUGUCUUGGAGCUCACUCACUUUGGUUGUGAGGAAAGGCAUGUUGUGCUCUCCAUAAGUAUGUUGAGAUCCCUCAUGAAAGGAGGUAGGCUUCUGCUUGCUCUUAAUAAGUAGAAACUUUCUUAUGUGCUCCAGUGUGUAAUAAUUCACAACAGUGUGUACCAGUUCAUUCUCCUGCCAACACGACCUGGCCAGUUACACGCCUUUCCUCUUUCCCACCUAUUUUACAUUUGUGCAUAUACAAGUAGCUAUACCAGCAGCCUGUUUUUCCAGGCUGAUCAAGCCAAUCUCCUUCCACUUCCUUUUGAUGAAUGCCUCCCAGCUUUUCCAGUUAUCCUAGUAAGCUUCAAUGAUCCUCUCUGGCUGAGCUAGCCUUUUUGCUUGACCAUUUGCCAUUACAGCUGGGGCAACUUGCAGAUGAGGGAUACCAAUAAUCAUGUUUACUACCUGUGCCACAGAGACCUUUCCCAAUCCAAGGAAUUGAAUACCUGCCUCAUCCUGGCACUAAAACCAUGUUUGUCAUUUUCCCAGCUGCAUUAUGCUGAUCCUUGUCCCAUCACCUGGAACUUCUCAGUCAUUUCCAGGUGAUAAGCCAUAUGUUUAUAUCACAAGGCAAUGUGGAUAUUUAGUUCCCAAAUAAAUUACACUGCUUUUUGUACCAGUGAAUUUCUUCUCUUUCCUCAUAUUGCAGUCAGAAUCAUGUGCUGCUUCUGCUGUUAUCUCACUCCACCUCCGUACUGACACUGCCUCUAAAUUAUGCCAUUAGCAGAUUUUGUCAGGCAGUUUCUGUGCCCAAGUAAUUAAUAAAAAUGU